rnacentral:rRNA from 1 species
GGUUGACGCUUCGGAUGCAGGUA